rnacentral:rRNA from 1 species
AUACGUAGGUGACAAGCGUUAUCCGGAUUUACUGGGCGUAAAGGGCGUGUAGGCGGUCUUGCAAGUCAGAAGUGAAAUUCCUGAGCUCAACUCGGGCGCUGCUUCUGAAACUGCAGGACUUGAGUGCUGGAGGGGAUAGCGGAAUUCCUAGUGGAGCGGUAAAAUGCGCAGAUAUUAGGAAGAACACCGGUGGCGAAGGCGGCUAUCUGGACAGUAACUGACGCUGAGGCGCGAAAGCGUGGGGAGCAAACAGGAUUAGAUACCCUGGUAGUCCACGCCGUAAACGAUGAACACUAGGUGUAGGGGGUAUCGACUCCCUCUGUGCCGCAGUUAACACAAUAAGUAUUCCGCCUGGGGAGUACGGCCGCAAGGUUGAAACUCAAAUGAAUUGGCGGGG